rnacentral:rRNA from 1 species
UGGGGAAUCUUCCGCAAUGGGCGAAAGCCUGACGGAGCAACGCCGCGUGAAUGAAGAAGGCCUUCGGGUCGUAAAGUUCUGUCUUUGGAGACGAACAUACAGGAUGUAAAUAAUGUCUUGUACUGACGGUAUCCAAGGAGGAAGCUCCGGCUAACUACGUGCCAGCAGCCGCGGUAAUACGUAGGGAGCGAGCGUUGUCCGGAAUUACUGGGCGUAAAGGGCGCGUAGGCGGGUAUUUAAGUCAGAUGUGAAAACUCCGGGCUCAACCUGGAGACUGCAUUUGAAACUGAGUAUCUUGAGGGCAGGAGAGGAAAGUGGAAUUCCUAGUGUAGCGGUGAAAUGCGUAGAUAUUAGGAGGAACACCAGUGGCGAAGGCGACUUUCUGGACUGUACCUGACGCUGAGGCGCGAAAGCGUGGGGAGCGAACG